GAUGAACGCUGGCGGCGUGCCUAAUACAUGCAAGUCGAGCGAACAGACGAGGAGCUUGCUCCUCUGACGUUAGCGGCGGACGGGUGAGUAACACGUGGAUAACCUACCUAUAAGACUGGGAUAACUUCGGGAAACCGGAGCUAAUACCGGAUAAUAUAUUGAACCGCAUGGUUCAAUAGUGAAAGACGGUUUUGCUGUCACUUAUAGAUGGAUCCGCGCCGCAUUAGCUAGUUGGUAAGGUAACGGCUUACCAAGGCAACGAUGCGUAGCCGACCUGAGAGGGUGAUCGGCCACACUGGAACUGAGACACGGUCCAGACUCCUACGGGAGGCAGCAGUAGGGAAUCUGCCGCAAUGGGCGAAAGCCUGACGGGGCAACGCCGCGUGAGUGAUGAAGGUCUUCGGAUCGUAAAACUCUGUUAUUAGGGAAGAACAAAUGUGUAAGUAACUAUGCACGUCUUGACGGUACCUAAUCAGAAAGCCACGGCUAACUACGUG
rnacentral:rRNA from 1 species